GAAUGCGACGAGAUCAAGGAUUGUGACGAGAUCAAGCUACUGCUACGAGAUCGAGCGACGGCGACGCAAUCGAGCGACGACGACGGGAGACGACGAGAUCAAGCGAAGGCGGCGAGAUCGAGUGUAUUCUGUCUCACAAAGCAGAUGAGAUCGAGACUCGAAAUCUCAAAGUGUCGAAUCCUCAUCAAAAAUCACAAGUUUUCACGAGACUACUCUCAGAAGAAGCGAGUGAUGCUACUGACGAAAUGAUGGAGCAAGAGAUGACUUUAGCUAAAUUAAUGCUAGGGCUUGUUGGAACUAUUAAGGAUUGGGCUAAUGAAAUAUUUAAGAGGCUGGAGGAUCAAAAGUCAACCAGGAAAAGAAACAGGAUGCACUUUGGCAGCCUGCUUAUACAUUUCUUGUAGACAAGAGGACAAGCCACA